rnacentral:tRNA from 1 species
UGCGGGGUAGUCCAGUGGCAGUGACGCCCGGCUCUGGACCGGGAGACGAAGGUUCGAAUCCUUCCCCCGCAG